CGAACGCUGGCGGCAUGCUUCAGACAUGCAAGUCGAACGAGAUCUUCGGAUCUAGUGGCGCACGGGUGAGUAACGCGUGGGAACCUACCUUUCAGUUCGGGAUAACGUUGGAAACGGCUGCUAAUACCGUAUACGCCCUCCGGGGGAAAGGUCAGCCGCUGAAAGAGGGGCCCGCGUCUGAUUAGCUUGUUGGUAGGGUAAAAGCCUACCAAGGCUUCGAUCAGUAGCUGGUCUGAGAGGAUGAUCAGCCACACUGGGACUGAGACACGGCCCAGACUCCUACGGGAGGCAGCAGUCGGGAAUAUUGGACAAUGGAGGAAACUCUGAUCCAGCAAUGCCGCGUGUGUGAUGAAGGCCCUAGGGUUGUAAAGCACUUUCAACGGUGAAGAUGAUGACGGUAGCCGUAGAAGAA
rnacentral:rRNA from 1 species